rnacentral:rRNA from 1 species
GGUGAACGCUGGCGGUAGGCCUAACACAUGCAAGUCGAACGGCAGCACAGUAAGAGCUUGCUCUUACGGGUGGCGAGUGGCGGACGGGUGAGGAAUACAUCGGAAUCUACUUUUUCGUGGGGGAUAACGUAGGGAAACUUACGCUAAUACCGCAUACGACCUACGGGUGAAAGCAGGGGAUCUUCGGACCUUGCGCGAUUGAAUGAGCCGAUGUCGGAUUAGCUAGUUGGCGGGGUAAAGGCCCACCAAGGCGACGAUCCGUAGCUGGUCUGAGAGGAUGAUCAGCCACACUGGAACUGAGACACGGUCCAGACUCCUACGGGAGGCAGCAGUGGGGAAUAUAGGACAAUGGGCGCAAGCCUGAUCCAGCCAUACCGCGUGGGUGAAGAAGGCCUUCGGGUUGUAAAGCCCUUUUGUUGGGAAAGAAAAGCAGCAGGUUAAUACCCCGCUGUUCUGACGGUACCCAAAGAAUAAGCACCGGCUAACUUCGUG